GCCUGCCUGGCUCAGUCAGUGGAGCAUGUGACUCUUGAUCUCAGGGUUGUGAGUUCAAGCCCCACAUUGGGCA
rnacentral:tRNA from 1 species